GGCCUACCAUGGUGGUAACGGGUAACGGGGUGUUAGGGCACGACACCGGAGAGGGAGCCUGAGAAACGGCUACCACAUCCAAGGAUGGCAGCAGGCGCGCAAAUUACCCAAUCCCGACACGGGGAGGUAGUGACAAUAAAUAACAAUACGGGGUUCUUUAGGAUCUCGUAAUUGGAAUGAGUACAAUUUAAAUCUCUUAACGAGGAACAAUUGGAGGGCAAGUCUGGUGCCAGCAGCCGCGGUAAUUCCAGCUCCAAUAGCGUAUAUUAAAGUUGUUGCAGUUAAAAAGCUCGUAGUUGAAUUUCGGGGUUAGUAAGUUGGUCAUGCCUUUGGUAUGCACUGGCUUUACUGAUUCCUCCUUCUUGACGAACCAUGAUGUCAUUAAUGGUGGUGUUGCGGGAAAUCAGGACUGUUACUUUGAAAAAAUUAGAGUGUUUAAAGCAGGCUAACGCUUGAAUACAUUAGCAUGGAAUAAUGAAAUAGGACGUUAAUCCUAUUUUGUUGGUUUUCUAGGAUCGACGUAAUGAUUAAUAGGGAUAGUUGGGGGCAUUAGUAUUCAAUUGUCAGAGGUGAAAUUCUUGGAUUUAUUGAAGACUAACUACUGCGAAAGCAUUUGCCAAGGGAUGUUUUCAUUAAUCAAGAACGAAAGUUAGGGGAUCGAAAGACGAUCAGAUACCGUCGUAGUCUUAACCAUAAACUAUGGCCGACUAGGGAUCGGAUGAUGUUAAUUCUUUAAUGACUCAUUCCG
rnacentral:rRNA from 1 species